CCACCCUCUGCUCAAGAUUGGAAGAGACCAGGAAAGGUUUCGGCAUCCCAAGCAGAGAAGCAUCUUGUGGUCUUCAAGAAGACUGGAACAAACAUUCAAGAGCAUCUCGAUGCCAUCACCUCCAGAGCUCAACUCUAUCUCCCGGCUGUUGGAGUUAAGAAGAAUGUAAUCCACCAGUUCAAGAAUGCCAUACCUUGCAGAUGACUCUUUGGACUGAAGCUUUUACUACAUACCGGAGCAGC